rnacentral:rRNA from 1 species
ACUCAAAGGAAUUGACGGGGGCCCGCACAAGCAGCGGAGCGUGUGGUUUAAUUCGAAGCAACGCGAAGAACCUUACCAAGGCUUGACAUCCCUCGCUAGCCUGGGAAACCAGGUGUUCCCUUCGGGGACGAGGAGACAGGUGGUGCACGGUUGUCGUCAGCUCGUGUCGUGAGAUGUUGGGUUAAGUCCCGCAACGAGCGCAACCCCUGUGCUUAGUUGCCAUCAUUAAGUUGGGCACUCUAAGCAGACUGCCGGUGACAAACCGGAGGAAGGUGGGGAUGACGUCAAAUCAUCAUGCCCCUUAUGUCUUGGGCUACACACGCGCUACAAUGGUCUGUACAAAGGGCGGCAAAGCCGUGAGGCCGAGCGAAUCCCAUAAAGCAGAUCUCAGUUCGGAUUGCAGGCUGCAACUCGCCUGCAUGAAGUAGGAGUUGCUAGUAAUCGCGGAUCAGCACGCCGCGGUGAAUACGUUCCCGGGCCUUGUACACACCGCCCGU